UACAUUUAGGACUGUGUGUGGGUGGAUCCCAGCUGUAUCAAACAUUGCUUGUGUGGCUCAUCAAGUAACUUAGUACUAGACAAUGUGCAUUGUGAUGCUGAGAGAGGUCAACGUGCACGUGACUCUUCUUCUGUAGGGAAACUUAUGACUUGUGGCAGCUUUCAGUCUUCAUUAUACAGUAAGUGCCAAGCUGCCCAAGAUGUCACAGUGGCUUUUCAAGGCUUAGUAAUCUGGAGGAAGCACAUACAAGAGAUACCAUAGAUCUUCAUUUCCAUAGAGCUUUUGUCCUGUGUUGCAAGCCAGUCAUAGGGACUCUAGAAGAAACUUAUAUAGGAUGGGUGAGAAACUGGAGAACUAUAGUAAGAAAAAUAGGCACCAGGAUAUCUGCCAGUGUUGACAUAGAUAAUCAGUAGAGAGGAGCCUUUUGAAAUUCAACACAGAGCCUAUGUUUGAAGGUGGCUGAUGCCAAAAGAGGAAAGAGGAGCAUGGCUGAGUCCUCUGGUUCAACUAGAUCUUGCAGGAGUUUUCAGCCUGUCCAUUGAAAGCAAUCAGUUCCAAAUUAUACAUGCAAAACAUUAAAUAAACAACAAGAAGAGGUCAUAGCCAAACGACUGACACAUUCCUGAAAGCAAGGAGAGGAGGACUCACUUGCCUAAACUUAAACAUGGAUGUGCGUCAUGAGGACCUGAGGUGUCCUCAUGGAAGGGGCAGAUAUCACCCACAGUGGAACUGUAUUGCUUCAACAUCAAGCCAGGUAAUAUCCUAGGAACCUGAGAUUAGCUAUGCUUGAAGUUUUAGAGAAGGAAUUUAUUCCACCUCACAUUUCCUUUAGAAAACAAACACACAACCCCUAAAUCCUGACAGAAAUAUGGA